UACGUAGGGACCAAGCGUUGUUCGGAUUUACUGGGCGUAAAGGGCGCGUAGGCGGCAAUUCAAGUCAGCUGUGAAAUCUCCGAGCUUAACUCGGAACGGUCAGCUGAUACUGCUUUGCUAGAGUGCAGAAAGGGCAAUCGGAAUUCUUGGUGUAGCGGUGAAAUGCGCAGAUAUCAGGAAGAACACCCGUGGCGAAGGCGGUUCUCUGGAACGCAACUGACGCUGAGACGCGAAAGCGUGGGGAGCAAACAGG
rnacentral:rRNA from 1 species